rnacentral:rRNA from 1 species
CCGGUGCGGGAUGAAGGCCUGGGGUUGUAAACCGCUGUCAGAGGGGAUGAAAUCUCCGGAGGUUAUCCUCCGGAGUUGACAGAGCCUCAGAGGAAGCACGGGCUAAGUAUGUGCCAGCAGCCGCGGUAAUACAUACUGUGCGAACGUUAUUCGGAAUCACUGGGCUUAAAGGGUGCGUAGGCGGUGGUUCAAGUCAGAUGUGAAAUGCCUGAGCUCAACUGAGGCAUUGCGUUUGAAACUGGAUCGCUUGAGUAUCCCAGGGGUGUGCGGAACUGCCAGUGGAGCGGUGAAAUGUGUUGAUAUUGGCAGGAACACCGGAGGCGAAAGCGGCACACUGGGGGAUAACUGACGCUGAGGCACGAAAGCCAGGGCUAGCGAACGGGAUUAGAUACCCCGGUAGUCCUGGCUGUAAACGAUGAGCACUGAGCGGGAGGAAGUUCGCUUUUUCCUGCCGUAGCGAAAGCGUCUAGUGCUCCGCCUGGGGAGUAUGGUCCGCAAGGCUGACACUUCAAAGGCAUUGACGGUGGCUCACACACGCGGCGGAUGACUGUGGCUUAAAUCGACGGCACCGCGAAGAACCCUUAUCCUGGACUUG